UACGUAUGGUGCAAGCGUUAUCCGGAUUUACUGGGUGUAAAGGGAGCGCAGGCGGUGCGGCGAGUCUGAUGUGAAAGCCCGGGGCUCAACCCCGGUACUGCAUUGGAAACUGUCGUACUAGAGUGUCGGAGGGGUAAGCGGAAUUCCUAGUGUAGCGGUGAAAUGCGUAGAUAUUAGGAGGAACACCAGUGGCGAAGGCGGCUUACUGGACGAUAACUGACGCUGAGGCUCGAAAGCGUGGGGAGCAAACAGG
rnacentral:rRNA from 1 species